CAGGGAAUGCAGAGAGAUGAGAGGACCUUCGUUGAGAUUGCCUGAGCUGUGUUUACGUGCCCAGCGGUGCGUCGGCGGCCGUAAUUGCCACCGGAAACACGUCGAAGACGGGUGAUCCUCAACCACCACCACAACACAAAAGAAAACCUGAAAGAAUUAUUUAAUUAGCUAAACUUGGUACAUAUAUACAUAUAAAAGGAAAAAAAGACCGCGUGGAGAUGGCUACAUCAAACAGUAACGGCGGAGGCGAUGACAGGCCGACGUUGCUACAUGGGAAAUACGAGCUGGGGCGUAUGUUAGGCCACGGAACCUUCGCGAAGGUGUACCUGGCAAGAAAUUUGCAGACGGGGAAAAGCAUGGCCAUGAAAGUUGUUGGUAAAGACAAGGUUAUCAAGGUGGGCAUGAUGGAGCAAAUCAAGCGUGAAAUCUCUGUCAUGAAGAUGGUGAAGCACAAGCACAUCGUUGAGCUACACGAAGUCAUGGCAAGUAAGUCCAAGAUUUACUUCGCCAUGGACCUCGUCAAAGGCGGCGAGCUGUUCAACAAGAUUGCCAAAGGAAGAUUACGA
rnacentral:lncRNA from 1 species